GCGCUUGAACGCGUACAGCGCGGCUACGGAACUGCUCUCGGUUAGCACGUGCACACGUCUGUUCAGACCGGCGCAUUUCUCCAAAAGCGAGCUCUCGGUGAUUUCCUCCGAGCAGUCCGCGUGCUGCUGCACAAUGAGCCACAAACCAAAGAAGAGCAGGAGAUUCUCACAUAAUCAUCAUCUGCAUCAGGAAAUGCUUAUUUUCCAAAGAUUUGGCUCCUGCGGACUUUGCCCUCUUCCUGAAGACGAAAAUCCAGCUCAAAUUUUUUUUUUUUUUGCCACUACUGUGGAGAUCCAGUGUGAAUUGCAGAAGGUGCCUGACAACCUUCAAAAAAAAGACUCCCAGGACAUGCUGGGACCACUGUAAUGUUGUUCAAAAUGUAGAUACAUAAAGUACUUUCUCAACAGA